rnacentral:lncRNA from 1 species
AUAUUAUUGCUCAUUCGGUAGCAAAGAUGUUGACACCACAUGUCGUCUGAUGAGUUUUACCGGAUCAAAUAAGGUUUUGUCAUUGUAUUCCCUGAAAGGAAUGAGAGGAGAAAAGAAACUGGAAGACCUGGCUAUCUGCAGGCCGAUGCUUGCUGCUGGUCAAUAUUGAAUGCUCUUAUGAAAACUCAUAAGACAAUAACAAAAAAAAGAAGCUGAGGAUGCUGUUUUUAAAACAUGUUCCAUUCAAAAAAGGUGGAUUGAAAUUUAAGAAAGGUGUGACGGGUGCGGCUACUGCAGGCAGGGAGGAUUUGACGGUCAGCCAGAGGAUUUGGAGAUAUACUGUAAUGUCUUUAAUGUGGACUUGCGUGUGAUUUAAGUUUUCACAAGGGUUUUAGUGUGUGUGAAAGUAUGUCAGUUUUCAAAAUUGAGCUAUGACAAUUUGCUCAAAUUACAUAACUCAAAGAACUUUGAAGCGGUCUUGUUGACGUCAUGAGCUUUUGUUUAAUACCAGUAUUGGUGAUAUAGGCCCAUGAUUAUAUACUGUAGAAAGUGAACAAGUUCACUGCUCGAUACAGAUAAUCAUAUGGCCUGAUCUCUGAAUGAUAUUUAUGAACCAAAAGAAGGCAUAAAAUAAAAACUAAAUUAUUGAUAUUGUUA